GAUGAACGCUGGCGGCAGGCUUAACACAUGCAAGUCGAACGGCAGCACAGUAAUUGCUUGCUAUUACGGGUGGCGACUGGCGGACGGGUGAGGAAUACAUCGGAAUCUACCUUUUCGCGACGGGUUACGAAGGCAAACUUACGCUAAUACCGGACAGGACCUCCUGGAGAAAGCAGGGGAUGUUCGGAACUUGCGCGAUUGAAUGAGGCGAUGUCGUAUUAGCUAGUUGGCGGGGUAAUGGCGCCCCACGGCGACGAUCCGUAGCUGGGCUGAGAGGAUGGUCAGCCACACUGGAAUUGAGACACGGUCCAGACUCCAACGGUAGGCGGCGGUGGAGAAUGUUAUACUGGGGGAUGAGGCCUAAUCCGACCCUACCGAGUAGGUGAAGGAGGCCUUGGGGUUUGAGUUCUAUUUUGCUUUGAUGCAAGAGCAGCGUGUUAAUACCGUGCGGUUCUGACGGUACCGAAAGAAUAAGCACCGGCUAACUUCGUG
rnacentral:rRNA from 1 species